UACGGAGGGGGCUAGCGUUGUUCGGAAUUACUGGGCGUAAAGCGCGCGUAGGCGGCUUUGUAAGUUAGAGGUGAAAGCCCGAAGCUCAACUUCGGAAUUGCCUUUAAGACUGCAUCGCUAGAAUUGUGGAGAGGUAAGUGGAAUUCCGAGUGUAGAGGUGAAAUUCGUAGAUAUUCGGAAGAACACCAGUGGCGAAGGCGACUUACUGGACACAUAUUGACGCUGAGGUGCGAAAGCGUGGGGAGCAAACAGGG
rnacentral:rRNA from 1 species